GAAGCACAAAGAAGUUAAGUACUUGCCCAAGUUCACACCAAGAUUUGAACCCAGGUAGUCUUACUUCAGAGACUACGUUUUUAUCCGUGGCCAUUGCCAACCUCAUGCUCAUUCAUUUCUACUCUUGCUGCUAUGUGGAGAACAGAUGGGAGGUGGACACUCAGGGAAACAGGUAAUUUGCCUUGCUACCAGUGUUUCUCUACCAUAAAAAUAUUA
rnacentral:lncRNA from 1 species